AGCAGCCGCGGUAAUUCCAGCUCCAAUAGCGUAUAUUAAAGUUGUUGCAGUUAAAAAGCUCGUAGUUGAAUUUCGGGAUUAGUACGUUGGUCGUGCCUUCGGUACGUACUGGUGUUACUGAUUCCUACCUUCUGACGAACCAUCAUGUCAUUAAUUUGGUGUGGCGGGGAAUCAGGACUGUUACUUUGAAAAGAUUAGAGUGUUUAAAGCAGGCUCGCGCUUGAAUACAUUAGCAUGGAAUAAUGAAAUAGGACGUUGACCCUAUUUUGUUGGUUUCUAGGAUUGACGUAAUGAUUAAUAGGGAUAGUUGGGGGCAUUAGUAUUCAAUUGUCAGAGGUGAAAUUCUUGGAUUUAUUGAAGACUAACUACUGCGAAAGCAUUUGCCAAGGAUGUUUUCAUUAAUCAAGAACGAAAGUUAGGGGAUCGAAGACGAUCAGAUACCGUCGUAGUCUUAACCAUAAACUAUGCCGACUAGGGAUCGGAUGAUGUUAUUUUUAAUGACUCA
rnacentral:rRNA from 1 species